UGGGGAAUAUUGCACAAUGGGCGCAAGCCUGAUGCAGCCAUGCCGCGUGUCUGAAGAAGGCCUUCGGGUUGUAAAGGACUUUUGUCAGGGAAGAAAAGGACAGGGUUAAUACCUCUGUUUGAUGACGGUACCUGAAGAAUAAGCACCGGCUAACUACGUGCCAGCAGCCGCGGUAAUACGUAGGGUGCGAGCGUUAAUCGGAAUUACUGGGCGUAAAGCGAGCGCAGACGGUUACUUAAGCAGGAUGUGAAAUCCCCGGGCUCAACCUGGGAACUGCGUUCUGAACUGGGUGACUAGAGUGUGUCAGAGGGAGGUAGAAUUCCACGUGUAGCAGUGAAAUGCGUAGAGAUGUGGAGGAAUACCGAUGGCGAAGGCAGCCUCCUGGGAUAACACUGACGUUCAUGCUCGAAAGCGUGGGUAGCAAACAGGAUUAGAUACCCUGGUAGUCCACGCCCUAAACGAUGUCAAUUAGCUGUUGGGCAACUUGAUUGCUUAGUAGCGUAGCUAACGCGUGAAAUUGACCGCCUGGGGAGUACGGUCGCAAGAUUA
rnacentral:rRNA from 1 species